CUUUCUCACAGUCGUGGUUUUUCAAGUAGGAACUAGCUUCCAGAUUUCACCUUCUUUCCUCUUGUGAUCUGAUUCUCAUUAUGAGUAAGGGCUUCAUCUCAUUUCAUUCUUAUAUGACUGCAAGAUUUUCACUGUAGUUUUAAUGAAAAAGGAUGCAAUAAAGUAAAAAGACACCAUGUGAUCCAAAACAAAAGGUUAAGAACAUGGACAAAAACUGGAACACUGACUUCAUGCUUGAUGUGUCCAUUACUUUUACAAGAGAGGUGACAUGAAGACAUGAUAACAAGAAGUCAUUAAGGUAUUGCCAUUAUGGAAAAUCCCAAGAACCUUGAGUCAAGACGGAAUGAUGAGUAUACAAGGCUGUGCAUAAGACAAAUGACUUUAGUAGCCAUUUGGAAAAAUUAUCUUGUCUGAAAAUGUUUAAGCAUGGUACCAUGCCCUGAGAAAAAUCUCUCCCAACUAUCUCUGAAAUUGCUAGUGUUAAUAUCAAGAUGGCAGGAUUAACUAUAUCAAAUCAUCUCCUGUUUUGUAUGAACAGCGAUAAACUCCUAAGUACUACUGGAGAACCACCUUUAUUAGACAUGACUUGACCAGACUUGUACUUCUAUUGUAGCUCAAGAUUAAAGCAUUUUUAACCACCACUUUUUUUUUUUUUCCAACUAAUCCUCUCUUUGGCUGAUUCAUUACAGCUGUUAAAUAACUAGAUAUUUAGCUAAAGGUGAACCAAACCUAUAAAUUUAAACAUGAUAUAAUAACCAACUCCUUUAUGCAUAGCAAGCUGCUUCUGUCAUCCUUUGACUGCUUUACGCUUACCUCACUGUCUGCAUCCAACUGAGCUCAUCUAAUGUCAUAGCUGACAGAAGAUGGUAACAACGGUGAUGGGAUAUUUCUGAUGCAUUAUGGAGGAGGACGGAGACCAUCUACGAGCACAAGGCAUUGCACAUGGAGACACAGAAAGGCUGACAUAAUGUUUUUUAAGCAUCUGACAGAUCUGAAGUUCCAAUGAUGCAAUGAAAUAUUUACUGCCUGGAAAAGCCCUUCCAGAUCUGAACACAAAAGCAAUCAAAGUACCAAUUGGUAAUUAUUAGGUGAAUAGUUUAAGUAAUAUUUUUCAGAUAUACAGGAUCAUAAAUUAACUCAUGUGAAGUAUUAAAUAAUGGCACUUUCUCAUGAUGGACAGUUUAUCCACAAGUAAUAAUUCAUAGACAUGCUCUUUAUGCCUGUAAAACAAUUAUGUUCUUCUUCCGUGUAAACAGGAUUUCCAUAGGUGAUCCUGUGUAACAUACUGCUGCUUUUUUUUGCUAUUGUACAAUUCAAUACCAGUUUUUCAGGGCUGUUAAAAGACUGUAAGCAUAUUCUGUAAAAAAUCAAAAAGGUGUGUGUCACACAACUUUAAGGAAAAGUCAGGGUAGUGUAGCAAAUGAGGCCAUACAAUACCACUGGCACUAUACUAGAUCCUCGAAGAUAUAUUUUUCAAUUGUAAAGCACACUUACAGUUACCAAUUCCCCACCAGUAAAGGUACUAGCUACAUGUUCCAUACUUGUAUAACUUCCUCCUUAUAUCAACAAAACCCAUUUCAUCCAGAGUUUCCCAGUAAAAUCCAAAGAAAGAACCUAUGCAAACAACAGUAUUUUUUUUAUCAGCCUGAAAGGAGAUAAAACUAGCCCAUACUGUUAUACGUGAGCAGUUGGUGCUUUCCAAUGUGCUUUAGCAAUUAAAUGCUCAGAGUAACAAAAAAAAAUCAUUUAAUAACCAAUAACUACCAAACUCCACCACUCCCUCUUCAGCACAGUGUUUUUAAGCUAUGUAAGAUGUUAAUUUCAGCAUUUCAAAGCAAGAACAGUUAUAACUGACUCAUAUAAAAGGUUUUAUUUUCUUUUUCCCUGUGAACGGCAGCGUAUCAAUGAGCCUAAGACUUUCAAAGCCUUAAUACACGUGCCUAGCCUAACAGAGUCAGCAGCCUACUACUAUCGCAGUACGUCAACACACUGUUUCAGAAAAGCUUAUACUGGGAUGAGAAAUUAUUGGUCUCAUUACUAGAAGUAGCAGUUGACAAAGGUGAGGUGACUUUGUAAUGGGGUCCCUGUCUGCUUGGUAAUGAAACAAAUCAUUUCACAUGUGUAACACUGUAUUUUCCACUAACCCAGUGAGGCUCAAAAUACCAACAUAAAUAGGUGAAAAAGGUCUCUCUGCCAGUCUCCUCAGUACUGUAUUUUAGUAAAGAACACCAUUACUUUUGUGAAGUGAGAGAGGAUUUUUCAAAUGCUUUCAUCCUUGUCCCACUUCUGCAGCCCAAUAUAAAAAGAAACUGAUUUCAUGGCAAAGCAGAUUAAUGAACGGAAGUAUGAACCUUGCCAUUUUCUAUGGAGGGGCAGACAUAGUUAAAGUUUGGCCUUUGGUGGCCACCCGUGGUGCCUUCUUUCCCCAUUCAUUUUCUCUUCUGACUACCACAUGUCAGUGUGGACACCAAAUACUUAAUCUACAAUACAAAUACAAGGGCUGCUUGGUUCUCAAGUAGCUGUGAAUGAUACUCAUCAAAGACAUCAGGGCUUCUUCUAAGUUCAAGAAGUUUAUACUGUUGGGGGGGAAGAAUGAUUAUAUAGGGGGUUUUCUUCAAUUUUGCAUUAAUAUAUACUGCUUGAAUGGGGGCUGUUCUAUACGGCACAGACUUCCACUAAUGAAGCUAACAGGAUUAAUUCAACAUGGAUUUAAUACUUGUGCUCAUUCAGUCAUAUAAAACAAUCAUCUGGACAAGGAAGUGAAAAAUAAUUUAAUUCCCAUGUUUGUUACCAAUCUUAUUUCAAAAUCCUUGUCAGGUGCCAAAUAUUUCAGAAAAUCCCUAGCACAUCUAAUUUGAAUCUUUGUAGGUGUUCGUGAUUUCAUAAAUUUUGUGAAACAAAUUAUUUUUACAGUGAGUACCUUACUUUUCUUCUACUUGAAGAAAAGUAAUGUAAGGCAUAUGUGUGUAAUUUAAGCUGCACAAGAGGUCAGUGAAGAAAUUAUGCAGUUUCUAAUUUGAAGUAAUAACAUUCUCAUACAGUUCUUGUGAUAUCAGAUUAAAGGAACUCAGAAAUAAUGCUGAUUGCUUUCAGUAUUAUGGCAUUACAAAAUCCCUACUACUAAGAGAUGCUUAGCAGAUGUGGUGGUCUGAGCCCAGCGCCGAAAGAUUGGGAAGGUGAAAUAUUUGGGAUUUUUUUUCUUUUUUUGGUGUGUCUGUAGUGUCUGUAGAGUCUUUUGGUGUGUCUGUGUCUGUAGCCAAAUCUGUCUUUGCUUGCUACUUUGAACAUGGCAAUUUCUUUGGAACAAAGUACUUCCAAAUUAGAGAAAUUAUUACUGUUUGGAGAUGCAGAUCCUGGAUGAUUUUGCUAAUCACUCCUCUCAUAAUAAGUUUUUCUUCAAUGUUAGGUAACUUCAGUUCAUAGGCAAAAAAAUGUGGUUUCUCUUUACACACACUUUCCCUUCUACCAGCAGUUGGCAGAUUUUGUUCAAAAAGCUUCACAUAAUAUUGCUGUUCUUUGCCCACACGAAGCUUGUUUAUUAUUAUGAAUGAUCUCUCUAUUUCUAUUAUACAUGCAUGAGACCAAAUAAUGUACUAAAAAAAAAAACAGCAUGAAGCCUCUUCACCACAAGUCCCUAACUGCGGCAUUUAUUCAGUAUUCAUAUGGACAGAAGCAUGCUUUGACUUCUUUACAUUAUCUAUUUCCCUUAAUGCAUUAUUUCAUUUUUCGCACAUGUGAACUAAGUUGCAGAUGUUAGGAAUCUAAUCAUGCUUCAUAAACAAACGGCAGCUAUAGUGUUGUAUUUGUUUGA